rnacentral:rRNA from 1 species
UAAGAGUAUACGGUGGAUGCCUUGACAUAAGAAGACGAUGAAGGACGUAGCAGCCUGCGAUAAGCUGCGGUGAGGUGGCAAGCAACCUUUGACCCGCAGAUCUCCGAAUGGGGAAACCCCCUCUCUUGAAGAGAGAGGAAGCUUAGCCUUUUAGGCUGGGCUGGAAGACCCGGUGAACUGAAACAUCUUAGUAGCCGGAGGAAAAUAAAAUAAAAAUCAUUCCCUGAGUAGUGGCGAGCGAAAGGGGAGGAGUCUAAACCCAAAUAACUGAGUGAUUGGUCUAGUUUACUAGGUUGGUCACAGAAGGCUCUGGAGCCAUAUGUUUUUUCGGGGUUGCAAGAUAUUAGCGCCCGUUGCCAGAUCAGCGGGGCGAAGUAAAAAAAGAUAUUUCUUAAUUGAAUGAGCUGGAAAGCUCGGCCAGAGACGGUGAUAGCCCGGUAAGUGAAAAGAAAUAACUCUUCGUGGCUAGUGUUCUUAAGUAGGACGGGACUCGUGAAAUCCCGUUUGAAGCCAGGUCGACUAUGACCUAAGACUAAAUACUUCUUAUGAUCGAUAGUGAACAAGUACCGUGAGGGAAAGGUGAAAAGCAUCCCGAUUAGGGAGGUGAAAUAGUACCUGAAACCAUAUACUUACAAAGAGUCGGAGCCCCGCAAGGGGUGACGGCGUGCCUAUUGAAGAAUGAGCCAACGAGUUUGUUCUAUGUGGCUUGCAUAAUCUCCUUUGGAGAGCAUGCAGAGUGAAAGCGAGGGUUAAUAGCCCGCAUUGUGCUUCACUUUUACGCAUUAACUAACGUUAGUGCGUUAAGGUGAAGUACACGUCGCAUGGACAAGACCCGAAGCCGGGUGAUCUAACCAUUAGCAGGUUGAAGUUCGUCGAAAGACGGAUGGAGGACCGAACCCAUUAGCCGUGCAACACUAUGGGAUGACUUGUGGUUAGCGCAGAAAUUGUAAUCGAACUCGGCAAUAGCUGGUUCUCCUCGAAAUAGCUUUUGGGCUAGCCUCGAACGUUUACCUCAGGGGGUAGAGCACUGGAUGAGGGCGGGUCGCAAGAUACCGUCUUCAAUCAAACUCCGAAUACUUGAGGGUACAGUUCGGGAGUCAGACUAUGGGCGCUAAGGUUCAUCAGUCGAAAGGGAAACAGCCCGGAUCACAAUCUAAGGUCCCUAAAUCUAUACUAAGUGUAAAAGGUGGUGUUGCGACUACGACAGUUAGGAGGUUGGCUUAGAAGCAGCCAUCCUUUAAAGAUAGCGUAAUAGCUCACUAAUCAAGUUGUUUCGCGCCGAAAAUUUAUCGGGGCUCAAGUAUAGUACCGAAGGUGUGAACUUUCUGAUUAAUUUCAGGGAGUGGUAGAGGAGCAUUCUCUUCAGCGUUGAAGCCGUGUCGUGAGGCGCGGUGGAGCGAAGAGAAGGGAGAAUGUUGGCAUGAGUAGCAAAAAGGCGGGUAAAAACCCCGCCCAUCGAAAACCUAAGGUUUCCUGGGCAACGCAAAUCGACCCAGGGUUAGUCGAUCCUAAGGCGCAGCUCGUGUAGCGCGAGUGCCAGCCGAUGGAUGAGCCGGUUAAUAUUCCGGCACUACUGUUGUUUUCCGAAGGGGGGACGCAGUUUCAAGGUUUAAGCGUGCUAUGGUAUGUACGUUUGUUGUCUCAAGAAAUGGCUUAGGUAAAUCCGGGCCGACAAUUUCAAGGGACUAUGAAGAGAUGAAGCCGCAAGGUGGAAUCGAUUUAAGCGGAGGAACUGACAAGAAAAACCUCUAGGGCUAAGGCAACAGUAAUCGUACCGUAAACCGACACAGGUAGGUGAGGCGAGAAGCCUCAGAUGUACGAGAGAAACUUCGUUAAGGAACUCGGCAAAACAGCGGCCGUAAUUUAGAGAUAAGGCCUGCCCCGCGCAAGCGGGGCCGCAGCUAAAGAGCCCAAGGGACUGUUUAUCAAAAACAUAGCUCUCUGCUAACUCGCAAGAGGAUGUAUAGAGGGUGAUGCCUGGCCAGUGUCCGAACGUUAAGAGGAGAGGUUAGCCGCAAGGCGAAGCUUUGAAUCCAAGCGCGGAUGAACGCCGGCGAUAACUAUGAACGAUUGUAGUUAUAAAAUUUGGCUAUAUGCUGGAAUCCCCUGUCAAGCUGAAAGUACUCAUUCUUUAAAAGAAUAGUGAAAAUCUUUCAGAUAAUCCUUAAAAAGGUACAGGACAAUCAGCAGGAAAGACUCUUAUGAUUAAAUUCAAUAUAAAACCGGAAAUCGCUUAUUACUUAUCCGGCUUUACCGAUGGUGAAGGAAGUUUUAAUGUUUCGUUAAGAAAAAGGCCAGACCAUACUAUGGGCUGGCAGAUAGUAUUAACUUUUAACGUUUCGCAAAAAGAAAGUUAUAUCCUGUCUCAAUUCAAAAAACAUUUUGAUUGCGGGCGGAUAGUGAGACGGAAGAAAGACGGGUUGUUUAUGUAUGUCGUUGAUAAUCCCACAUCUUUGCGAGCCAAAGUAAUACCAUUCUUUAAGGAAUAUGGAUUUCUUUCACAAACCAAGAAAUAUAAUUUCUCGGUAUUCUGUCAAAUCGCUGAAUUAGUUUUUAAGAAAGAACAUCUUAAUUCCGACGGUUUUAAAAAAAUCGUGGAAUUAAGAGAAAAACUAAAUAUCGGGCGAGGACGGAAAAGAAAAUAUAAUCAAGAAGAUUGUUUAAAAAUCUUCCAAGAGAAUCCUCAGAGACUACAUGCCAAACCGCGCAUUUUUCAACCUGAAAAAUAGCGGAUGAUAUAGUCCGAUCUUUAUGGAAACAUAAAGCCGGUUGCCAUAUGAGGGCGCCGGAAUCUAGAGAUAGAUUAACAUCAUGAAUCGUCCUAAGGUUACGCGAUUUAUUGCUAUUAUUAGCAAAAGAUAGCUAGCCAUAGAACAAACAAUAGAUCCCGUAAGGACUGGGACUAUUAUAGGAUAAAACAGUUUAACAAAAAUGUUAGUAAGUCAUUAUAAAAAAUUCGCUGCCUAACUAUAGUGAAAACUAUAGUAUGUCCAUAAAUUUCAGCAAAAUGCGAGAAAACCCUCAAAAGAUUUUAGUACUUAUUUAUAUAAGUAAUAAUCUAAAAUACACGGGGGCAACACGCAGGAUUAUAUUAUUUUAAUUUAAUCCUCAGAGACUUAAAAGCUGGAACCCUACAGCAGUAAUGCCAGGGGGAAGAUAAAGUCCGUGCUUAAUAGAAAUAUUAAGGGUUACAAAGCGAAAUUCCUUGUCGGGUAAGUUCCGACCUGCACGAAUGGCUUAACCACUUGGGCACUGUCUCAACGAAGUACUCGGUGAAAUUGCAAGACGAGUAAAGAUGCUCGUUAACCACAGUUGGACGAAAAGACCCCGUGAAGCUUUACUACAACUUGAUAUUGAGUUAGGGAUAGACACGUUCAGAAUAGGUGGGAGCCUUCGGGCGCCAGUGAGAUACCACCCUUGUCUAUUUUUAAUUCUUACCCUGAAAUUCAGGGGACAGUGUCUGGUGGGUAGUUUGUCUGGGGCGGAUGCCUCCCAAAAAGUAACGGAGGCGUUUACAAAGGUCGGCUAUCUCGGAAUGGAAACCCGAGAGAUAGUGUAAAGGCAUAAGCCGGCUUUACUGCGAGACCUACAAGUCAAGCAGUCGCGAAAGCGGAACUUAGUGAUCCGACCAUUCAAUAUAGGAUGGUGGAAGCUCAUCGGAUAAAAGCUACUCCGGGGAUAACAGGCUAGUCAGGUCCAAGAGUCCACAUCGACGACCUGGUUCGGCACCUUAAUAUAUCGGGGCGCCAUCUCGAGCAAUCGAGUGAAUAAAAUUGGCUUAUAACGGUGGACUCCAUAAUUUAUUUGGCCUAUAAUAAUUAAUUAUGGACAACGCCGCGGGAAGUCUAACUCAAACGCAAAAAUCAAUAAUCAUCGGCUCAAUUUUGGGCGAUGGUUACUUGCGCGUUAUCAAGGGAUAAUGGAAAGAUUGAGUUAUGACCCUGUAGAGACUUGUUUUCUUUUUUGGUAAAAAAGAGAACGGAUAGUUCUGACAUUUAGAGCUAUAAUACGCCAACUCCCAUUUGAUUUUUAAUGGGAUGAAGACAUAGUCCGUACCAUUGGUAACAAUGGAAUCAUACACGAUGUCGGCUCGUCGCAUCCUGGGGGUGGAGAAGCUCCCAAGGGUUGGGCUGUUCGCCCAUUAAAGCGGCACGCGAGCUGGGUUCAGACCGUCAAUUUGGCGGCUUUCCUGAGUA